rnacentral:rRNA from 1 species
AAUGCUAAAAGAAUGGAAAUUUAAAAAAAAACUUUUUUAAAAAUAAAAAUUGAAUUUUUUUUAAUUUGUGCAAAAACAAUUAUAUUUAUUAAAGACAAGAAGACCCUAAGAAUUUAAGAUUUUACAAUUAAAAAGUUUUUUUUUAAAAUCUUGAUUGGGGCGAUCAAAAAAUAUUAAUAACUUUUUAAAAUUUAAAUUGAUCUAUUAUUAAUAAACUAAUGAAUUAAAUACUCUAGGGAUAACAGCGU